CAUGGCAGCAGGGAGGCGCUGUGUCGUUCGCUCGCGUGAAGUUUGAUUAAUUUACAGUUAAAAAAAGCAAAUCUACCAAACGAGUGUGUUCCAGUGCAUUGAUUGAAGAUGUAAUGUGUUCAUUCUUGUGCUUAAGGAGAAUCAUCCUAGCAGUUUUGUGAAUGUGUGAAUUGUUUCUUCUGGCUACACUCUACACAGCUACGCAUAGUAGCAGCAGGGAAGGAAAAGCCCGCUGCUCUAUCUGGCCGGAAAAUACCUCGAACCAGCGAGAGAGAAAGAGAGAAAUAGUGUAAAUUGUAACCUAAAGUGAGCAAAAGAAAAGAAGGAAAUUGCAAAGCUAAAAGCCGCAGGCCAGAGAAUCAUCGCGACGCAAAUAAUUCGAGCGAGAAUAAAAGGUUUGUAGGUGCAAAGUGUCGAAAUGUACGUGUGGUGGUAAAACCGGGAAAAGUAGUGGUGUUUCAAAUGCAAAAUGCAUUUUUUUGCUGAUCCGCACUAAAAGCAAAGCGUUGUGAAAGCGAAUGAAAGAAGAGUUGAAGUAAAUUAGGCAGAAGGUUAAGCAAGAGGGGGAGAGCGAGUGAGCUGGGGUUGUUGUGGUGAGCAUAUUUCCUAGAAUCGCAUCGUCCUUCGGAAGUUAAUCCUUCUUCCUCGUGCGUGGUCUGUUUCCUUUCAUCUGUGUGUACGUGUGUGCGUUUAAUAGUGAUCACUGCGUCAGAAUGUGAAUGAUUUGAUAUGGUGUUUCCCACGUUGUGCGUUGCUCGGGCAGCCGUGGCUCACUGAGAUGAUGGUGGGUUGCUGCUGCAGCGACACAAGCGUCAGCAUAAAACCAUCCGAGACGAAGCCGGAGAUGCACCC